UCUAAAGUUGGGUUUUUGGUGGA
rnacentral:siRNA from 1 species